rnacentral:rRNA from 1 species
UACGUAGGGGGCAAGCGUUGUCCGGAUUUAUUGGGCGUAAAGAGCGUGUAGGCGGCUUUACAGGUCCGUUGUGAAAACUCGAGGCUCAACCUCGAGACGCCGGUGGAAACCGUAAAGCUAGAGUCCGGAAGAGGAGAGUGGAAUUCCUGGUGUAGCGGUGAAAUGCGCAGAUAUCAGGAGGAACACCAAUUGCGAAGGCAGCUCGCUGGAACGUAACUGACGCUGAGACGCGAAAGCGUGGGGAGCAAACAGG